ACUUGGCAAAAAAAUAGGAUAAACGUAUGGCAAUAUUGUGUUAACCUAUUUCAAAGAUCAGUUUUAUAAUAUUUAUAUAGAUAUAGAUAGAUGUUUCUUUGACGAAGCUGGAAAUGCUGUUUGCUUCAAUUUAUUUGUCACCAUCUUUAUUACCCUCAGUUUUGCCAUUGAAGUAGCAUUACUUUACAUUUGGAAGAUGAUAAUCAUUUGGAUUGACUUGUUUCUCUCUACACAUGCCACUUAAAUAUCAAGAAAAAAAAAAUCCCUAUUUCACUUGAAAAUUACCAAAUCUAUACUCUGCUAAAGACUAUUUGUAUUUAUAUAUAUAUAAGGUUAAACUGUACAUGUAAUUUUUAUGAGUCAAAGCCCAUCUCACAAACA
rnacentral:misc_RNA from 1 species